AAACUUUCAACAACGGAUCUCUUGGUUCUGGCAUCGAUGAAGAACGCAGCGAAAUGCGAUAAGUAGUGUGAAUUGCAGAAUUCAGUGAAUCAUCGAAUCUUUGAACGCACAUUGCACCUCUCGGUAUUCCGGGAGGUAUGCCUGUUCGAGCGUCAUUU
rnacentral:rRNA from 2 species